ACUUUGACAGAUGAUAUGAGCCAUGCAAUGGUAAAUAAAAUUCUCAUUGAAGAAUAUCCCAAAAUGGAGGCGGUGGAAGGGUGGUUGUUCUACAAGGCUUCAGGUGGCCACGGUAGAAGAAAAUUGCUUGCCAUUCCUCCUGAUGUAGACGGUUAUACAGGUAGACUGAUUCGCAGUGUUUGGUGCUGGGAAGACGACCAUGUACAUUGUUCCACUGCAGCAGGACCUUGAUCUUACUCCACUGCCAUCUGAUGCCACUGAAUUUCAAAAAAUGCCUAAGGCUGCAUGCCAAGUGUGCAAAGAAAACAUGCCUCUGCAUAUCCUAGCAUUGCACAUCGAGGGUUGUAUGGAGUCUGCAGCAGAUGAUGAUGAUGAUGAGGACUGGCAGAAUGAGGUCCAGGUUCUUUCUGUCACAAACUCAC